AACAUCGCCUCCUGCAAAAAUCAACGUAUAGGAGGUCCUGCCUGCCCAGUGACAACUAGUUAAACGGCCGCGGUAUUUUGACCGUGCUAAGGUAGCGCAAUCACUUGUCUUUUAAAUGAAGACCUGUAUGAAUGGUGGAACGAGGGCUUAACUGUCUCCCUUCUCCAGUCAAUGAAAUUGAUCUGCCCGUGCAGAAGCGGGCAUAAAAAUACAAGACGAGAAGACCCUUUGGAGCUUAUUGGGGCGACCGCGGGGGAAAACAAAGCCCCCAUGUAAAGCCAAGAAAGACAUUUCUAAGACACAGAAUAUCUGACCAAAAGAUCCGGCACACAAGCCGAUCAACGAACCAAGUUACCCUAGGGAUAACAGCGCAAUCCUCUCCAAGAGUUCAUAUCGACAAGAGGGUUUACGACCUCGAUGUUGGAUCAGGACAUCCUAAUGGUGCAGCCGCUAUUAAGGGUUCGUUUGUUCAACGAUUAAAGUCCUACGUGAUCU
rnacentral:rRNA from 1 species